GGCUGAGGAAAGUGGAACUGUUAAAAACGUCGUCGUCCUAAGGCGGAUAAGUGAAAUGGGACGGAUCAUCAUCACCGGAAGAGCUAGUCGGAAGUCUGUACUUCUACUACUAAGUAGUCACUUCCUAUUAGCGAGAAACAACAGCGAAGAAGAGUAAUAUCGCAAAUUAGAUCAUCCGUUUUAUCUUAGUGUGCUUCUGGAUUUCUCUCACGAAAAUUGGAAAGGCCGGCAGUUGGGAAUUCUAUUGUGAGUGUGCCCACGUGGACUGGGCCUUCUGAGGCUUCCGAACUGGGCCACCUUCCGCAAUAAUUUAGCAACUCAGCUGGGCUCGGAUGCUUCUAAUUUGCGUUUCAUGUAUUUUGUUGGCCCGCACCUAUUCUUUCAUUUUAUUAUUUUUUUUAAGUAUUACUAUUAUAUCUCUUCACGACUUCACCUAUCCGUUUCCUCCAUUUCUUGGGACGUUUCCUCCUCUUCUGCGCGUACUCCCACCGCCUACUCUCGCAGCUUCCCCCUCAGGCUCACUUCCCUCACAUUUCCAUUUCCCAGAUGGAUUGGCAAGGGCAGAAGCUAGCAGAGCAACUCAUGCAGAUAAUGCUGGUGAGCUUUGCUGUGGUGGCAUUUAUUUCAGGCUUUGUUUUGGGCUCAUUUCAGAUAAUGCUGCUGAUAUAUGCUUCUGGCGUUCUAUUGACUUCUCUCAUUACUGUUCCCAAUUGGCCUUUUUUCAAUCGCCAUCCCCUCAAAUGGUUGGACCCAAGUGAAGCUGAGAAGCAUCCCAAACCGGUGUCUGCUAAUACUAGCUCAAAGAAGAAGACUGGCAAGAAGUAGGUCACUUGACUAGUUUUGCUUAGCAUUUUGCUCAGAUAUUUGUGAUGGGAGGUUUAUUAGCUAUAUUUUAAUGCCUUCAUUUUUGUGCGAACUAACAUUUUGCUGAAUGUGGCCUACAUCUGACUUUCAUACAUUGCAAAUGUUUCUAGUUUUCACAUAUGGCUUCUACUUUGUCUUCUA